CAGUGUAAGGAUCCACAGAGGGUCUAAGUAUGGGAGGAGUGACAGGUGAGAAAGAUCAGCCUGGUAGCAGCAUUCAUUACAUAUUGUAGUGGGGAACUUCGAUUUUUGGGGAGACCAAUUAGGAGAGAAUUACAGUAAUCCAUGCAAGAGAUUACCAGACCAUGAAUAAACUCCUUAUCAGCAUCUCGCAUAAGAAAGGGGCGGAUGCGGGCAAUAUUUUUAAGGUGGAAUCGACCUUUGGAAUCGAGGUUUUAGCAAUAUGCUCGAUAUGAGGCACAAAGGUGAGGUCAGG